AUGUAGUAUACCGUGCUUCGACUGCAGUCGAACGAACUCUGGUAUUGAUUGGUGCUUGCAUCAUGAUUUACAUUUGAGUGAGUGGCUAACUGGUGAGUAACACGUGGGAAACCUGCCCAGAAGCGGGGGAUAACACCUGGAAACAGAUGCUAAUACCGCAUAACAACUUGGACCGCAUGGUCCGAGUUUGAAAGAUGGCUUCGGCUAUCACUUUUGGAUGGUCCCGCGGCGUAUUAGCUAGAUGGUGGGGUAACGGCUCACCAUGGCAAUGAUACGUAGCCGACCUGAGAGGGUAAUCGGCCACAUUGGGACUGAGACACGGCCCAAACUCCUACGGGAGGCAGCAGUAGGGAAUCUUCCACAAUGGACGAAAGUCUGAUGGAGCAACGCCGCGUGAGUGAAGAAGGGUUUCGGCUCGUAAAACUCUGUUGUUAAAGAAGAACAUAUCUGAGAGUAACUGUUCAGGUAUUGACGGUAUUUAACCAGAAAGCCACGGCUAACUACGUGCCAGCAGCCGCGGUAAUACGUAGGUGGCAAGCGUUGUCCGGAUUUAUUGGGCGUAAAGCGAGCGCAGGCGGUUUUUUAAGUCUGAUGUGAAAGCCUUCGGCUCAACCGAAGAAGUGCAUCGGAAACUGGGAAACUUGAGUGCAGAAGAGGACAGUGGAACUCCAUGUGUAGCGGUGAAAUGCGUAGAUAUAUGGAAGAACACCAGUGGCGAAGGCGGCUGUCUGGUCUGUAACUGACGCUGAGGCUCGAAAGUAUGGGUAGCAAACAGGAUUAGAUACCCUGGUAGUCCAUACCGUAAACGAUGAAUGCUAAGUGUUGGAGGGUUUCCGCCCUUCAGUGCUGCAGCUAACGCAUUAAGCAUUCCGCCUGGGAGUACGAGCCGCAAGGCUGAAACUCAAAGGAAUUGACGGGGGCCGCACAGCGGUGGAGCAUGUGGUUUAAUUCGAAGCUACGCGAAGAACCUUACCAGGUCUUGACAUACUAUGCAAUCUAAGAGAUUAGACGUUCCCUUCGGGACAUGGAUACAGGUGGUGCAUGUUGUCGUCAGCUCGUGUCGUGAGAAUGUUGGCUAAGUCCCGGAACGAGCGCAACCAUAUUAUCAGUUGCCAAGCAUAAGUGGGCACUCUGGUGAGACUGCAGUGACGACGGAGCAGUGGGCAUGACCUUCAAUCAUCAUGCCUAUGACUGGGCUAACACGGUGGCUACAUGCAUGUACAGAGUUCACUCCGAGAUAGCCUUAUCCUCUUAGACCAUGUCUCCUGUUCGAGAUUAUAGUAGUUGA
rnacentral:rRNA from 1 species